rnacentral:sRNA from 1 species
UUAUCAGCAAUGGAAACUGAUGUGCUGUCUCCACAGAGUCGGUACUUUACAGCAUAAGCAGCAGCAGUGUAAGCUUCCUCACAUUGCUUAGCCCGUGCACCUCAACUUUGCCCUGGAAGGUGGUCCUCUGAGAAUAGAGAUGUAGUUUAUCAUUCGUAUGGCUCCAACCCGUGCCUUGU